rnacentral:rRNA from 1 species
UACGGAGAGUGCGAGCGUUGUUCGGAAUCACUGGGCGUAAAGCGAGUGUAGGCGGUCCCGCAAGUCGGGUGUGAAAGCCCACGGCUCAACCGUGGCGGGUCACCCGAAACUGCGGGACUUGAGUUCGGGAGAGGGAAGCGGAAUUCCCGGUGUAGAAGUGAAAUUCGUAGAUAUCGGGAGGAACACCAGUGGCGAAGGCGGCUUCCUGGAUCGAUACUGACGCUGAGACUCGAAAGCGUGGGGAGCAAACAGGAUUAGAUACCCUGGUAGUCCACGCUGUCAACGGUGGGCACUAGGUGCAGUGGGUGUCUGACCCCCGCUGUGCCGAAGCUAACGCAUUAAGUGCCCCGCCUGGGGAGUACGGCCGCAAGGUUG